GAGUGGAAAUCUUCAAGUGCAUCAAAGGACACCCAGAGGGGAUAAAACUUUUAAAUGUUCAGGGUCUGGAAAGAGAUUCAGUAUGAGUCUUGCACAGCAUCUCAGAACAAAACACAUCGGAUAAACCUUUGGAAUACUUAGAAUGAGGAAAGAGAUUCAAUGAAAGAUACACGUAUGAGCAGCAUUUGAGAACCAACACAAAGGAGAACCUUUUCAGUAAGGCCCCUGUACCCUCUUCAUUUGAGACAUUUCAAUUUGAUCCCCAAUCUUCUCUUUGUUCUUUUGAAAACUGAAGGUGCAAUGUGGGAAUCUUUGGAAUAAGUUUGAGAGAGUGCUUCUACUGGUUAUGCCCAGAGCACAUCUCAUCAUGGAGGCAGGAUGUCACUGAGGCUUUUACAUAUAUCCCUCAGCCCCAAGGCAUGUAUACAACCAUAUCUCUACUUCAAAGAAUAUUUCAUCAAAGCAAAACAAGAUCAUUUCCAGUUAAUGGCAAUCUUCCCAGAGCCAUCAAAGCAGCCCAACAUCCAGUCAAAUCAAACAGACCUGAUCCUUUGAAAAUUUCCCCACACUGGAAUGUCAAGUGUCAUUUGCAACUCUUUUCAUUGAAUUUUUAGGGCCAUGGAAUAAGCCACACAUCCCACAACAAGGUUUUCUCUUUGGAGGUCAGCAAAGCAUAUGAAACCCAUUAUGUGGCUCAAGCCAGUGAGCUCAGCCAGAAACUUCUCUGUAUCGUCUGGCAGUUUUAUGGAAUAGAAUAUGGGAUUUCUAUAACUCAUAACAUUCCUUAGAAG